UACGUAGGGUGCAAGCGUUAAUCGGAAUUACUGGGCGUUAAGCGUGCGCAGGCGGUUUUGUAAGUCUGACGUGAAAUCCCCGGGCUCAACCUGGGAAUUGCGUUGGAGACUGCAAGGCUAGAAUCUGGCAGAGGGGGGUAGAAUUCCACGUGUAGCAGUGAAAUGCGUAGAGAUGUGGAGGAACACCGAUGGCGAAGGCAGCCCCCUGGGUCAAGAUUGACGCUCAUGCACGAAAGCGUGGGGAGCAAACAGG
rnacentral:rRNA from 1 species